rnacentral:rRNA from 1 species
AUUGAACGCUGGCGGCAGGCCUAACACAUGCAAGUCGAGCGGAUGAAGGGAGCUUGCUCCUGGAUUCAGCGGCGGACGGGUGAGUAAUGCCUAGGAAUCUGCCUGGUAGUGGGGGAUAACGUCCGGAAACGGGCGCUAAUACCGCAUCCGUCCUGAGGGAGAAAGUGGGGGAUCUUCGGACCUCACGCUAUCAGAUGAGCCUAGGUCGGAUUAGCUAGUUGGUGGGGUAAAGGCCUACCAAGGCGACGAUCCGUAACUGGUCUGAGAGGAUGACCAGUCACACUGGAACUGAGACACGGUCCAGACUCCUACGGGAGGCAGCAGUGGGGAAUAUUGGACAAUGGGCGAAAGCCUGAUCCAGCCAUGCCGCGUGUGUGAAGAAGGUCUUCGGAUUGUAAAGCACUUUAAGUUGGGAGGAAGGGCAGUAAGUUAAUACCUUGCUGUUUUGACGUUACCAACAGAAUAAGCACCGGCUAACUUCGUG